GCAAGUUUGGCCGAGUGGUUAAGGCGUGCGGUUCAGGUCCGCAUCUCUUCGGAGGCGAGAGUUCGAAUCUCUCAGCUUGCA